rnacentral:rRNA from 1 species
UUCCCCUUCGUAACUGCGUAGUGAAGCGGGAAAAGCUCAAAUUUAAAAUCUGGCGGUCCUUGCGGCUCGUCCGAAUUGUAAUCUGGAGAAGUGCUUUCCGCGCUGGACCGUGUACAAGUCUCUUGGAACAGAGCGUCGUAGAGGGUGAGAAUCCCGUCUUUGACACGGACUACCAGUGCUUUGUGAUGCGCUCUCGAAGAGUCGAGUUGUUUGGGAAUGCAGCUCAAAAUGGGUGGUAAAUUCCAUCUAAAGCUAAAUAUUGGCGAGAGACCGAUAGCGAACAAGUACCGUGAGGGAAAGAUGAAAAGAACUUUGGAAAGAGAGUUAAACAGUACGUGAAAUUGCUGAAAGGGAAACACUUGAAGUCAGUCGCGUUGGCCGGGACUCAGCCUUGCUUUUGCUUGGUUUAUUUUCUGGUUGACGGGUCAGCAUCAGUUUUGAUCGUCGGACAAUGAUUAGAGGAAUGUGGCAUCUUCGGAUGUGUUAUAGCCUUUGGUCGCAUGCGAUGGUUGGGACUGAGGAUCUCAGCGCGCCUUUAUGGUCGGGGUUCGCCCACGUUUGCGCUUAGGAUGCUGGCAUAAUGGCUUUAAAUGACCCGUCUUGAAACACGGACCAAGGAGUCUAACAUGCAUGCGAGUGUUUGGGUGGAAAACCCGAGCGCGCAAUGAAAGUGAAAGUUGAGACCUCUGUCGUGGAGGGCAUCGACGCCCGGACCAGACCUUUUGUGACGGCCCUGCGGUAGAGCAUGUAUGUUGGGACCCGAAAGAUGGUGAACUAUGCCUGAAUAGGGUGAAGCCAGAGGAAACUCUGGUGGGAGGCUCGUAGCGAUUCUGACGUGCAAAUCGAUCGUCAAAUUUGGGUAUAGGGGCGAAAGACUAAUCGAACCAUCUAGUAGCUGGGUUCCUGCGA